CCAACCUUUUUAAAAAUAAACUAAAAGUAUAAAGUAUAAACUGACACACACUCAAACUAUACAUGAAAGCAAAAAACAUGUUCAUUCAGGAAAUCUCCAACUGCAAGAACAUUUAAUCAGUUUGUACAUUCCAUAUGGUCAGGAAGCAUCCAUUGGACCUGCAAACACAGACACAUACACGAGAGGUUAAUGCACCCGUGUCUGUGCCACAAAUACAGACAGCAUAAAAUACAAAGAAAAGCUAUUGAGACAGACAGACAUAUUUUACAACCUUGGGUUUGAAUGCUCUGCACCUCCUCUUCUCCUCUGCUCUCUCCAUCCGCCCCUCUCUUCCUCCUCUCCUCCUCCAGCUUCCACCUCUGCUGCUCCUCCCUCUCCCUCUCCUGGAGGAGUGAGUGGAGGUAGGCCUGGCUCAGCACCUCCUCUCCCUCCCCCAGCAGGAAGGAGUUCUUAAAGCGACAGUACAACAUGGACGCCUUGUCCAUCACAGCCUGGCACGCUCUGUAAUAGCGCAUCUACAAUACAUGGAAACAUAUGUCAAUAUAUAUACAAAUAUAUCAAGAUCCUCUUCUCCACCCUCCAAGAACUGGCAAUCUCAGGCUCUGCACUGUCCGUGUUGCCAUCCUACCUUCUGGAUUGCACUUCCAGGGUAACCUGGAAACAAUCUGUGUCUGAACCUUGUAGUCGUACUACUGGUGUCCCUCAGGGUUCUUUCCUUGGUCCCAUCCCAUUAUCUCUGUAGGCCAGGUCACUGGGUUCUGUCAUUCAUUCCCAUUGCAUAUCCCAUCACAGCUAUGCAGAGGACACACAACCAAUUCUGUCUGUGGUGUCGAAUUGUGCGUCUGGCAGACAUCUCUGGAUAUUGACACACCAACACAGCUCCAUCGGGACAAGACUGAGCAGCUCUUCCUUCCAGGGAGGGAAUCCCCGUCCACCAACUGCUCAUCAAUAUUGACUACACUGUGGUGCCAGGCGAUGCAGACCGCAAAUAACCUGGGCGGGUCACUGGAUGAGCAGCUGCCAACAUAAGACCCCACCAAUCUUCAGUCUCAGACUGAAAAUUCAUCUGUUGGGACUGCAUCUUGGCCCAUGAAUAGGAAUUCUCUUUUCCAUGUCUCUAUUAUCACACUUAAAUUAUUUCAUGGAUUUUAUGCACUCCAGGAUUCUUUCACUUUUGGGUUGAAUCUACGUUUUUGAACAAAUUUAUUGUGAGUCGAUUUGGACAAAAGCAUCAGCUAUAUCAAUUUAAAGGAAAUGUCCAUCCCAGCCUGACAUGCUCUGUAGCAGCACAUCUUAAAUACACACACACACACAUAUAUAUAUAUACACAUACAU
ensembl:lncRNA